AAUUUUAGUAAUGACAGGAGGCGAAUAUUUGCAUAUCUUUCUUUACUGAAAACUCCAGCAGCAUAGAAACAUAACAACCAAUCAGAAAAAAGCUAUGGUGCCCAUAUAAGGCCCUGUCUAUGACAUCACUUCCUCUUUCUUUGAAGCAAAACAAUAAAUAACAACAAUAAACACAAUCAUAUUACGUCAACAGUUCAACAACAUAUUGGGAUAAACAAACUCCAGUAGUUCCAUGAUGCAGCGGUAUGAAAGGUGAGCUUUUGUCCUGAUGAGAAGACGUUCACGCUGCAAGAAAAAGGAAACAGGUGAAAGGACUCUGGCGUGAU